rnacentral:rRNA from 1 species
CUGAUCCAGCAUGCCGCGUGUGUGAAGAAGGCCUUCGGGUUGUAAAGCACUUUUGUCCGGAAAGAAAUGGCUCUGGUUAAUACCCGGAGUCGAUGACGGUACCGGAAGAAUAAGGACCGGCUAACUACGUGCCAGCAGCCGCGGUAAUACGUAGGGUCCAAGCGUUAAUCGGAAUUACUGGGCGUAAAGCGUGCGCAGGCGGUUGUGCAAGACCGAUGUGAAAUCCCCGGGCUUAACCUGGGAAUUGCAUUGGUGACUGCACGGCUAGAGUGUGUCAGAGGGAGGUAGAAUUCCACGUGUAGCAGUGAAAUGCGUAGAGAUGUGGAGGAAUACCGAUGGCGAAGGCAGCCUCCUGGGAUAACACUGACGCUCAUGCACGAAAGCGUGGGGAGCAAACAGGAUUAGAUACCCUGGUAGUCCACGCCCUAAACGAUGUCAACUAGUUGUUGGGGAUUCAUUUCCUUAGUAACGUAGCUAACGCGU